ensembl:lincRNA
UGGAGACAGUGGGCGGGCAGGCGCUGCAGCUGUUCAAACUUUCGGCCACCUUUCCGGGCCUCGAGGACUCCCCACUCUCGGGCCUGUCGGAACCAUGCUGGGGAAUGCGAGAGAAUCCUCUGACUCCGCAGAUUUGCAGUCCCUUCCGGCGUCAGCUGUGCCCCGUGGGGACAGCCAACGGCGUCCAGUGCCCCUGAGCACCGGAUCUCGGAAACCAGUGCAGCGUGGAAGGAGCUCUGGGAGCCCGUGGCCACCCAGCCCGUGCACAGAACCGGGGGCCGCCGCCCUGGGAGGGCCGCCCUGAGCUGCCGCUGUGUCCCCACCUCGGAGGCUCGUCCGGCCACCCGGGCGUGAGUCACGGCCGUGCUCUGGGCGCUGCCGCGGAUUCAGAAGCGACGUUUCCUGCAGAUAAGCGCUAAGUGGCAGGGAAACCUGGCCUGCCCGCUGCGAGAUAGCGCUUCCUCCAAAGCCCCCCAAGCACUAAUUAGCCAUUCCAAGCAUAGUUUCGGCAGCGUUUAGGGAUUUCCUCAUCAAAAUAAACUUCCUCCCG